AUGGACCAUUCCAUCCCUUAUUCCCGUGGCUAUGCAUCGGAUUCAGAUGACAAAGGUCCCGAUGAACAAGUUGAUGAGGAGGGGUUCACGGCGAAGGAGGCCGAAGGUUUCGAGAAGGUAUUUGGUCAAGAUCAUCGGAGUACAUUGUUCAAGAAUGUUAGUCUCACGGAUGAAGCCGUGUGA
rnacentral:rRNA from 1 species